rnacentral:rRNA from 1 species
GCGAACGCUGGCGGCAGGCUUAACACAUGCAAGUCGAACGGGCGUAGCAAUACGUCAGUGGCAGACGGGUGAGUAACGCGUGGGAACGUACCUUUUGGUUCGGAACAACCCAGGGAAACUUGGGCUAAUACCGGAUAAGCCCUUACGGGGAAAGAUUUAUCGCCGAAAGAUCGGCCCGCGUCUGAUUAGCUAGUUGGUGUGGUAACGGCGCACCAAGGCGACGAUCAGUAGCUGGUCUGAGAGGAUGAUCAGCCACAUUGGGACUGAGACACGGCCCAAACUCCUACGGGAGGCAGCAGUGGGGAAUAUUGGACAAUGGGCGCAAGCCUGAUCCAGCCAUGCCGCGUGAGUGAUGAAGGCCCUAGGGUUGUAAAGCUCUUUUGUGCGGGAAGAUAAUGACGGUACCGCAAGAAUAAGCCCCGCUAACUUCGUGCCAGCAGCCGCCGU